AAAUUAAAUAUUCUCCGAGCAAAAGUAUCUAAGGCAGAGCUAUGAUACUGCGCCAAGUAAUAUAUAAAUUACUUCAGGUUAUGAUGGAAACGUUAUAGCCAUCCGUUAUUUGAGAAGGAGAAAAUAUAAGGGGUAG
rnacentral:ncRNA from 2 species